UACGGAGGGUGCAAGCGUUAUCCGGAUUCACUGGGUUUAAAGGGUGCGUAGGAGGGCAGGUAAGUCAGUGGUGAAAUCUUCGAGCUUAACUCGGAAACUGCCGUUGAUACUAUCUGUCUUGAAUCCCGUGGAGAUGAGCGGAAUAUGUCAUGUAGCGGUGAAAUGCUUAGAUAUGACAUAGAACACCAAUUGCGAAGGCAGCUCGUUACACGAAGAUUGACUCUGAGGCACGAAAGCGUGGGGAGCGAACAGG
rnacentral:rRNA from 1 species